AACGGCCGUACCAUGCUGAAUAUACCGGUUCUCGUUAGAUCACCGAAGUCAAGCAUCAUUGGGCGCGGUGGUCAGUACUUGGGUGGGUGGCCACAUGGGAACACCGCGUGCCGUU